ACAGAAUUAGUCCAUUAUACUCUUUUGACGGGAAGUGCACAUUUCUGUAUCAGUUACCACACAACCUAGACUGAGUCUCUUGGGCUGAGGGAGUGGCCUGCUGAGCAUGAAGGUGGCCUCCCCGUUUCAUAGUCAGCAUCCCCCAAACAAGCAAGCCAAUGCUGCAAGGGAAUCUCCAACUUCGUUUCUUGUUACAAUGAGAUUGAUCCUCUGUCUCUCAUUCACAAGGUGAAAAUGUUGCUGUAAUAGGAUCAUUGUCCCGAAACUGUGAAAAGACUGGGUGUGAUCAGUGAGUGUGAUCAAUUUAGUAGCGGCUUACAAUAAGAAGCAGAUUUGAAUAACCAAUCCUACAAAUCACCUUUGACUGUGACCUUAGAUUGGAGAAUUCCUAAAAUCAAGAAACGUGUAUGAGCUAAGAGGUAGGUUGGCUGGUAAAGCAAUUCCCUGGCAUGUAGGAUGCCUGGGUUCCACCCCCAGAACCAUAUAAGUUUGGUAUGGUGGUGUUUGCCUGCAAUUCCAGGACUUGGGGAUGUAGUGACUGGAGGACCAGAAGUUAAAGGCCAGUUUUGGCUCCAUAAUGAGUUCGAGACCAGCCUGGGCUACAUGAGACUCUCUAUGAAAAACAACAGUGUGUGUGUGUGUGUGUGUGUGUGUGUGUGCAAAACCUCAAAAGAAAAUUCAAAAUCUCUGCUUUUUUGACUUAGAGACAAAUACUUAGAGGAAUCACAUGUGCUUACAGAAGAUAGGGCAUAGGGUGGUUUCAAGCCUUUCAAACAGCAGCCAAUGUUUCCUUGCAUUGCUGGUUUUGUUUUUGUUGUUGUUUUUGUUUUUCUCAGAUUAGGGCCUCCAGUGAAACAAGGAACCAGAGGGGAUCACCAGAAUCCCCAACUUCCCAAUUUUGGGUAACCUGGAGCAAACCCUGUUUGCUAUAACAAACUCUCCAUCCAGCUGUGCGUUAGCCCGAGUUUCUGAACAGAACAGAGAUUGUUUCCAAAUGCUGAUUCAAGUGGAUGAUAAGGAAAGAAUCAAUAAGCAGAAAGAAAGCCACGAAGAAGGUUGUAAGUACCAUACUUUGGAUGAGGAAGGACCACGUGCUAAAGGGAGACUUUUGUCUGGAAGUAGAAUGACCAAAAGACAGGGCAACACUGAAUGUUCAUCAAGGUGAAGGUACUUCUGAGAGCUGCCUUCAUGCCCCUCAUGCUUCUAGUAUCCAGAGCUUCUGAGUGUGGGUCUAGAAUCUCACCUUCCUCAACCAUGGAAAUGGCUUUGAAGUGGUUCAAGAGCAGGGAUGUGGCUGCUCUGGAAAAUGAAAAAAAUGAGGUGCCCCCUUGGGUGUCACCCUUUAGCACAUUCCAGGUAACUGUGAUGAGGAAAGAAAAAGAGACUAUCAUAGGUGAGUGCCCCAAGGCCCUAGCAUGAGGUCCCCCAGUCAUCAGCAGCAACACUGGAAAAGGAAUUCUCCAAGUCCCCAGGAUGGGGAGGGAGCAGGUAUAUAUGACUUCUAACAGUUUCUUCUGUAGAAAAUGAAGAUUGACAGCCAAAGGUCUGUCUGGUUCACUUUAACACAGUCCUGAUUUUUUUCCAAGAAGUCCUUUUUGAUAUAUCUAAAGAGAAAGAUGGGAUUUUUACUCAAUACUGGAGCCACAUACUCUGUGUUCACUGUUAAAAAGGUAUCCUAUGCAGGUGUGUGUGUGGGAGACUUAUGGUUCCUCCAGCCACUGAUGCAGGCUGAGAGGUUUCAGAACACUCACUUCUGGUGUUCUGAAUGCCCUAGUCCACUAGCAGGAAGAAACCUAUUAGAGAAACCAUGAGCGACUGUAACUUUCCAGUGGGAUAGUGAGGAAACUUUGCUAACCGUCGUCAUUUCAUUCCUGGGACAAAAUACCUGAGAUGAACAGGAAAGAAGGAAAAAGAAUUGAUUUUGACUCUCGGUUUUAGAGGUCUCAGUUCAGGGUCAUAUUGGGCGUGUGGUGGAUCCUUGCAUGAGGGCAAAGUGGCAGGACCAACCUCUCAUUUCUUCUGUAAGGUUGCACCUCCUAAAUGGUCCCACCAUCUCCUGUGUGCCCAAGCAUGCGUGCAUGUGUGUGGUGUGUGUGUGGUGUGUGUGUGGUGUGUGUGUGUGUGUGUGUGUGUGUGUGUGUGUGUGUGUGUGUGCUGUGAUUAGGAGGGAGUGUCCCAGGGCGAGGCUCAUCUGUUGCACUUGAACGUGCUGGUCCCUGAGAUAUCCCCAAAUGUAGGAAACACGACUGUAUGGUUUGUGAUAGUGGAAGGUGGGGGCUGCAC
ensembl:lncRNA